UCAGAGGGGACCACUGCCUGCCACGCAGGGUUUGGAUCUUACACAGGACUCUAAACCCCAGAAGUGAAGAAAACUCUGCACUCUCCCAAUCACGGGAAUGGCCUUAACAUCAUGAGGAGCUUCUCACACCUUUUCCUUAGAAGAUACAAAGAAGUACAACGCCUACCUGUUUCUAAAGCCCUGUCAUCAGUUUGAAGCAGAUUCAGAAUGAGGAAGAUGCUUCAGUUCAAGGAGAGGGAAUGGAAAGAAGGACAGAUUAGAAGUUACAAGAGUUGAAGGAAAUUCUGUCACAUCUUUGUCUUCAAGCAGAAGGCUAUCAAACAAAGCUGCCCAGCCUUACACUCAUCCAUCAUCCUCGAGUUAUUAAGAGAAUAGCUGCAGAACAUUUACAAGUGGAUGGGAUGGAUUGCUGGCUGCUUUUCAAGAACAGUCAGUGCUACAAAAACUUUGCAAGAUGGAGAAUUUUCUCAUAUUUCCUGUUACUUGCUCUGCUAAGACCUGCUAGAAGGAAUGGUUUCUUGAAUUUUGGGGUGACUAAUCUAGGUUGAUGCUAAAACUGUUAAUUAUUCAUAUCUAAUAUCAGAUUAUAAUUUUAUCAGAGUAAAAUAUUUAUUUUUUUGGUAACUGUUUCUUAAAAAGGCUUUGGGAUACACUGGAGGCAAGGAAGGGGUCAGGAUCCUUGCAGAUGUCUGAGGGCUAGUAUUAUAUGACUUUCUCAAGGUUAGGCUUAAAAAAAUCAAUGCAUGAAAGCAGAGGUUAAGAGAUUGCAAGUGUCUCACAUGAGAAGUGUAACAAAAUGAAGGUAAAAUAGAUCAUAACUGCAUGAGUUUUUCUCGGUGAAUAAAAGACAGAGGUUGGGAUCGAGUGGAGUUGCCAUAAGAAUCUGAUCAGCAAUUUAGGUUGUGCACAAAGACAUCUAAGCUCCUGCAGUACUCUUUACUCCCUCAGCUUGAAAUGCAGGGAAACAUAGUGCAGAGGUUCCACGCAGGCCUGCACUGAACCAGACAGAGUGUAGCCCAGAGUGCUGUGCCAGCUGAACAUGAUUAUUCUGCCUUGCAGUCCCACUUGACAUAUCCACACAGUACUUUGCUGUGCUGUGUGACUUGCCAAAUCAGCUCAGUGCUAGCUUGGGGAUCUCUGCAUUAUGUUCUUUGCAAUUUAAAUGUACCCUUGGAAAUUAAACUAAUUUGUUUGACUUCUAGAAGGGUAGGAGUUGCUUCCUGACUGGCCAGCAUUGCUCUAAUUAGGUGGGACUAUCAGAAGACCAAAGCAUGUCAGUCUGUACAGCGACUUUGCAGACAACAGUAUCUUGGCAGUCACUGAAAAGCUGCUCCAUUCGAGCAUCCUACAGUCUGCUCAGUGAAAAGCUCUAGGUUCUUCUUUGCUGGUUUAGAUACUUACAAAUCCAGAGAUCAGCAAAGAAUCAGAGUCAAGAAUUUGUUCCCAAGAGAGAGCAGCCAGAUGUCUGGAGCUGCCAUUGGACACAGGACAAAGUGGGGAGAGGUUCUGGAGUCCAGAGGACCAGCCAUCAGUCAGCCUUAGUGGGAGGCAGAGAGUCAAACUAUAGAUAGCUCUUUUGUUGUGGAGCCUUUAUCUCUGCCUUGCCUUUUUUUUGAGUAAUCGGGCUCUGCCUUAGCAAGGUUGUUUGCUGAUGGACACCACUAUGCUGGUGGAGGCAGAAGAACUGAGAAUGAGUCAGGACCAUGAGAUAAUCCUGGCUGACCGCAGGGAACUGGAGCCUGGGAGAGUCAUGGGACUCUGUGGCAGGAGACAUGGAAACUGGGAGCCUGACUCUGUGAGAGGGAGCACCUGAUGGGAUCAGGAAUAUAAUUUACACAGUUCUAAUGACAAAAUUUAUGAAUUUGCAUUUUUAAAUUUUUCUUUUCUGUGCCAGUUCAGAAAUUGGCCACAAACUUUUGUUUAUAGUCCACAGUAAAUUUGGCAUGUCAGAGAGCAUUUAGCAUCAGGAAAAGUAGCAUAGUUACGCUACUAAAACAUGACUAAUUUUCAGCAACUCCACACUGGGAGUUGCUACUCAAUAACAACACUGCUUGGUGACUCCACCCUGCUUGCACGGCAAUUAGCUGGCUUUUGCCACUCUACUUCAUAUUGUGAAGGACCUCAGCAAAAACAGCACAGAGUAGUGUUAGGGAGUAUUUACCAAAGUUGUUUGUGAAGAAAUAUCACUAAUUGAGCCACAACAUGAAACACAAAGGAUAAAUUUCAGUGAUAAAUUCUUCUACUCAGGAGGGAAGCUGAAGAAAAGCGAUGGUUCCCCCCUGUACCUGCACUCUUGUCCCCCCUUUUGUCAUUUUGUUUCAUAUUUUCCCUCUGAGUUUUGUUCCUACUGUAUGUUGCUGUGAUGAACAUCACACUUGAUACCACCCAGACUUAGCAACCCUCUGCCUUGCCAUCUGACUCCCCUCCUCGCCUUCCUCUCAGUGACUUAUAUUUUCAUCUAGAGAUCCCAUCUUAUUAAUUAAGAUUCCCGCUGCUCCCCCCCCCCCCCGCUCCUUCCUAAUGUGGCCUUCCACUCUAGCUCAACACUUAACAAAAUCCCUGUUUACCAACCUGAUAUUUAUUAAGCACAUUUAUCUUCCUCUUGUUUAAGUCUCCUCCAACGCUGGCCUUAUCUUUUGCUUCAUUAUUUGGUUCUUCCAUUACUCCCAGGCCAUGAAUUCCCUCAAAGCUUUCUUU